rnacentral:rRNA from 1 species
GACGAACGCUGGCGGCGUGCUUAACACAUGCAAGUCGAACGGGAGUAUUGAAGAAGCUUGCUUUAGAGAUACUUUAGUGGCGGACGGGUGAGUAACGCGUGAGGAGCUGUCCUAUGCAGGGGGACAACAGCUGGAAACGGCUGCUAAUACCCCAUAAGCCGAGAGGUAAAAGGAUCAAUCCGGCAGAGGAGGUACUCGCGUCCUAUCAGCUAGUAGGUGAGGUAACGGCUCACCUAGGCGAAGACGGGUAGCCGGCCUGAGAGGGCGAACGGCCACACUGGAACUGAGAUACGGUCCAGACUCCUACGGGAGGCAGCAGCGGGGAAUAUUGGGCAAUGGGGGAAACCCUGACCCAGCGACGCCGCGUGGGUGAAGAAAUCCUUCGGGAUGUAAAGCCCUGUUGUAUGGGAAGAGCGGAAGACGGUACCAUACGAGGAAGCCCCGGCAAACUACGUG